rnacentral:tRNA from 1 species
UGGGACCAUAGCUCAGCUGGGAGAGCACCUGCCUUACAAGCAGGGGGUCGUAGGUUCAAGUCCUGCCUCCGCAACCA